rnacentral:rRNA from 1 species
CGAGCGGAUGAGUGGAGCUUGCUCCAUGAUUCAGCGGCGGACGGGUGAGUAAUGCCUAGGAAUCUGCCUGGUAGUGGGGGACAACAGUUGGAAACGACUGCUAAUACCGCAUACGUCCUACGGGAGAAAGCAGGGGACCUUCGGGCCUUGCGCUAUCAGAUGAGCCUAGGUCGGAUUAGCUAGUAGGUGAGGUAAUGGCUCACCUAGGCGACGAUCCGUAACUGGUCUGAGAGGAUGAUCAGUCACACUGGAACUGAGACACGGUCCAGACUCCUACGGGAGGCAGCAGUGGGGAAUAUUGGACAAUGGGCGAAAGCCUGAUCCAGCCAUGCCGCGUGUGUGAAGAAGGUCUUCGGAUUGUAAAGCACUUUAAGUUGGGAGGAAGGGCAGUAAGUUAAUACCUUGCUGUUUUGACGUUACCAACAGAAUAAGCACCGGCUAACUUCGUGCCAGCAGCCGCGGUAAUACGAAGGGUGCAAGCGUUAAUCGGAAUUACUGGGCGUAAAGCGCGCGUAGGUGGUUCAGCAAGUUGAAAGGUGAAAUCCCCGGGCUCAACCUGGGAACUGCCUCCAAAACUACUGAGCUAGAGUACGGUAGAGGGUAGUGGAAUUUCCUGUGUAGCGGUGAAAUGCGUAGAUAUAGGAAGGAACACCAGUGGCGAAGGCGACUACCUGGACUGAUACUGACACUGAGUGCGAA